rnacentral:rRNA from 1 species
AGAGUUUGAUCAUGGCUCAGGACGAACGCUGGCGGCGUGCCUCAGACAUGCAAGUCGAACGGGACCGGAGCGAUCCGGUCCAGUGGCGGACGGGUGAGUAACACGUGGGCAACCUGCCCGCAUGACCGGGAUAACAGCCCGAAAGGGCUGCUAAUACCGGAUGAUGCCGGGGAAUCGCAUGAGGCUCCGGCCAAAGGGUGGCCUCUUAACAAUGCUGCCGCAUGCGGAUGGGCCCGCGGCCCAUUAGCUGGUUGGUGAGGUAACGGCCCACCAAGGCUACGAUGGGUAGCCGGCCUGAGAGGGUGUACGGCCACACUGGGACUGAGACAAGGCCCAGACUCCUACGGGAGGCAGCAGUCGGGAAUCUUGCACAAUGGGCGAAAGCCAGAUGCAGCGACGCCGCGUGAGCGAUGAAGGCCUUCGGGUUGUAAAGCUCUGUCUUCGGGGACGAACCCCUGGUGUGUGAAAGCGCGCCAGGCUGACGGUACUCGAGGAGGAAGCCCCGGCUAACUACGUGCCAGCAGCCGCGGUAACACGUAGGGGGCGAGCGUUGUCCAGAAUUACUGGGCGUAAAGGGCGCGCAGGCGGCCUGUUAAGUCGAGUGUGAAAUUGCAGGGCUCAACCCCGCAACUGCGCUUGAAACUGGCGGGCUUGAGGUCAGGAGAGGGAAGUGGAAUUCUCGGUGUAGCGGUGAAAUGCGUAGAUAUCGGGAGGAACACCAGUGGCGAAUGCGGCUUCCUGGACUGCACCUGACGCUGAGGCGCGAAAGCUAGGGGAGCGAACGGGAUUAGAUACCCCGGUAGUCCUAGCCGUAAACGAUGGGCACUAGGUGUGGGAGGUAUCGACCUCUUCCGUGCCGCAGUCAACACAAUAAGUGCUCCGCCUGGGGAGUACGCGCAAGGUUGAAACUCAAGAUG